rnacentral:misc_RNA from 1 species
GCGCGGCGCUGAGGCAUGAGCGCGGCGCGCGCGCCCGAGCCCCGCGACCCGCCGCGCCACUCCCACCAGCCGCACCACCCGCCGCACGCAGCGCACCACCAGGGCUCAGCAGAUUCGAACUACUCGCAGCCAUCGUCGGAACUGUCGCUGGACGAAGACAAAGAGGCGCUGCGCCGCGAGAAGGAAGCGCAGGCACUCACACAGCUGGACAAGGCACGGUCAAAGCCGGUGGCGUUCGCAGUGCGCACCAAUGUGUCGUACGAUGGCGCGCUCGACGACGACUCGCCCGUGCACGGCAGCGCCAUCUCCUUCGAGGUGCGGGACUUCCUGCACAUCAAGGAGAAGUACGACAACAACUGGUGGAUCGGGCGGCUCGUGAAGGAGGGCUGCGACAUCGGGUUCAUCCCGUCGCCCGUGAAGCUAGAGACAGUACGCGCGGGGUUGGUGGCGCGGGGGCGGUACGCGCGGCCGGCGUCGGCGGCCAACCUGGCGGCGCCGGCCGGCCCGCCGCCGCCGCCCGGACCCAGCCGAGGUAGCACCCCCCCCACGCCCGGCGAGGAGUCGGAUGGCGCUGGUCGUGGGCGCGGCGCCGGCGCGCUCCCCGCCGGCAAGGAGAAACGCAAGCCCUUCUUCAAGAAGCAAGAAGCCUGCACACCAUACGAUGUAGUGCCUUCCAUGAGGCCCGUGGUCCUUGUAGGACCCUCGCUCAAGGGUUAUGAGGUCACGGACAUGAUGCAAAAAGCCCUCUUUGACUUCUUGAAGAGACGGUUCGAGGGCAGGAUUAUAAUAACUCGCGUGAUGGCGGACAUAUCGUUGGCGAAGCGGUCGCUGAUGAACAACCCGUCGAAGCGCGCCAUCAUGGAGCGAUCCAACUCGCGCUCCACGUGCCUUGCGGAGGUGCAGGCGGAGAUCGAGAGGAUAUUCGAGCUGGCACGGACGCUGCAGCUGGUGGUACUAGACUGCGAUACCAUCAACCAUCCCUCACAACUCGCCAAGACCUCGCUCGCGCCCACCAUCGUGUACCUCAAAAUCUCCAGUCCAAAGGUACUACAGCGGCUGAUCAAGUCGCGCGGCAAGGGGCAGAGCAAGAACCUAUCGGUGCAAAUGGUGGCAGCGGAAAAGCUGUCGCAGUGCCCGCCGGAGAUGUUCGACGUCAUUCUAGAUGAGAACCAGCUCGAAGAUGCCUGCGAGCACAUCGCAGAGUAUCUCGAGGCAUACUGGCGCGCGACGCACCCGCCGGCGGCGGCGGCGCUGUCCCGGCCGCUGCCGCACGCCGCGCCGCACGCGCCGCACCACGCGCACCAUCACGCGCAACCUGGUUAUAAGGCCGAAAAUCUACCUUAGAAGAAUAUUGGGACGAUAUCAACGGUCCAUGAUUGCAGUCAUCCUAGUACUGACUUAACAAUACUUGUUUCAUAUUAGGGGGCCGGGGACGCGCGCCGCGGCCGGAGCGGCUGGAGGAGGAGUUCUACGGGCGCGAGCGCUACCCGCG